UACGAAGGGGGCGAGCGUUGUUCGGAAUUACUGGGCGUAAAGGGCGCGCAGGCGGCUCUGAAAGUCAGAUGUGAAAGCCCCGGGCUUAACCUGGGAAUUGCAUUUGAUACUCUGGAGCUUGAGUACGGGAGAGGAGAGUGGAAUUCCCAGUGUAGAGGUGAAAUUCGUAGAUAUUGGGAAGAACACCGGUGGCGAAGGCGGCUCUCUGGACCGUAACUGACGCUGAGGCGCGAAAGCGUGGGUAGCAAACAGG
rnacentral:rRNA from 1 species